rnacentral:rRNA from 1 species
CGUCUAUAUACGUAUAGCAUAUCAAUAAGCGGAGGAAAAGAAACUAACAAGGAUUCCCUUAGUAACGGCGAGUGAAGCGGGAAGAGCUCAAAUUUGAAAUCUUCAAGGUUCUACCUUGACGAAUUGUAGUUUAAAGAAGUGUUUUCUGUUAGAGGAGUAGGCAAAAGUUCCUUGGAAUAGGGACAUCAUAGAGGGUGAGAAUCCCGUAUUUGGUUAUUCUUUCUAGCUUCGUGAUACACUUUCAAAGAGUCGGAAUUGUUUGGGAAUGCAGUCCAAAAUGGGUGGUAAAUUUCAUCUAAAGCUAAAUAUUGGCGAGAGACCGAUAGCGAACAGGUACCGUGAGGGAAAGAUGAAAAGAACUUUGAAAAGAGAGUUAAACAGUACGUGAAAUUGUCAAAAGGGAAGCGUUUGACACCAGUGUUGUUUUUCCGAAAAUCAAUUAAGAAUGGCUUGAUUUUGUGUUGUAUUGACCUUAUCAGCUUUCUUCACUCUUUUUCGAGUCUUUCUUAAUGCACUUUUCGGUUAACAAGUCAACAUCAAUUUCUUUUGUUGUAAAAGGGUAUUUGGAAGGUGGCUUUCUUUUCGGAGAAAGUGUUUAUAGCCUUAUACCUCUACAAUCGGAGAGAUUGAGGUCUGCAGCGUAGAUCCUUCGGGGCUAGAUACACUUGUGCUAAGUUAUAGCUUUUCAUAGACAACUUGUUGACUAUGUUUAGUCAUGUAGCUUACCCGCUUGUGCUAUUUUACCUACGCUUAGGAUGUUGAGUCAUCACACAUCUCU